CGUAGGGUGCAAGCGUUAAUCGGAAUUACUGGGCGUAAAGCGUGCGCAGGCGGUUAUGUAAGACAGAUGUGAAAUGCCCGGGCUUAACCUGGGAACUGCAUUUGUGACUGCAUGGCUAGAGUUUGGCAGAGGGGGGUAGAAUUCCACGUGUAGCAGUGAAAUGCGUAGAUAUGUGGAGGAACACCGAUGGCGAAGGCAGCCCCCUGGGUCAAGACUGACGCUCAUGCACGAAAGCGUGGGGAGCAAACAGG
rnacentral:rRNA from 1 species